AGAGUUUGAUCCUGGCUCAGGAUGAACGCUAGCUACAGGCUUAACACAUGCAAGUCGAGGGGCAUCAGUUUGGUUUGCUUGCAAACCAAAGCUGGCGACCGGCGCACGGGUGAGUAACACGUAUCCAACCUGCCUCAUACUCGGGGAUAGCCUUUCGAAAGAAAGAUUAAUAUCCGAUAGCAUAUAUUUCCCGCAUGGGUUUUAUAUUAAAGAAAUUCGGUAUGAGAUGGGGAUGCGUUCCAUUAGUUUGUUGGCGGGGUAACGGCCCACCAAGACUACGAUGGAUAGGGGUUCUGAGAGGAAGGUCCCCCACAUUGGAACUGAGACACGGUCCAAACUCCUACGGGAGGCAGCAGUGAGGAAUAUUGGUCAAUGGACGAGAGUCUGAACCAGCCAAGUAGCGUGAAGGAUGACUGCCCUAUGGGUUGUAAACUUCUUUUAUAUGGGAAUAAAGUGGUCCACGUGUGGAUUUUUGUAUGUACCAUAUGAAUAAGGAUCGGCUAACUCCGUGCCAGCAGCCGCGGUAAUACGGAGGAUCCGAGCGUUAUCCGGAUUUAUUGGGUUUAAAGGGAGCGUAGGCGGAUUGUUAAGUCAGUUGUGAAAGUUUGCGGCUCAACCGUAAAAUUGCAGUUGAUACUGGCAGUCUUGAGUACAGUAGAGGUGGGCGGAAUUCGUGGUGUAGCGGUGAAAUGCUUAGAUAUCACGAAGAACUCCGAUUGCGAAGGCAGCUCACUGGAGUGUAACUGACGCUGAUGCUCGAAAGUGUGGGUAUCAAACAGGAUUAGAUACCCUGGUAGUCCACACAGUAAACGAUGAAUACUCGCUGUUUGCGAUAUACAGUAAGCGGCCAAGCGAAAGCAUUAAGUAUUCCACCUGGGGAGUACGCCGGCAACGGUGAAACUCAAAGGAAU
rnacentral:rRNA from 1 species